rnacentral:rRNA from 1 species
UAGGGAAUCUUCGGCAAUGGACGAAAGUCUGACCGAGCAACGCCGCGUGAGUGAAGAAGGUUUUCGGAUCGUAAAACUCUGUUGUUAGAGAAGAACAAGGACGUUAGUAACUGAACGUCCCCUGACGGUAUCUAACCAGAAAGCCACGGCUAACUACGUGCCAGCAGCCGCGGUAAUACGUAGGUGGCAAGCGUUGUCCGGAUUUAUUGGGCGUAAAGCGAGCACAGGCGGUUUCUUAAGUCUGAUGUGAAAGCCCCCGGCUCAACCGGGGAGGGUCAUUGGAAACUGGGAGGCUUGAGUGCAGAAGAGGAGAGUGGAAUUCCAUGUGUAGCGGUGAAAUGCGUAGAUAUAUGGAGGAACACCAGUGGCGAAGGCGGCUCUCUGGUCUGUAACUGACGCUGAGGCUCGAAAGCGUGGGGAGCAAACAGG